UUUACGAUGAAUUAAAUCAUUCCUCAGAAAAAAAAAAUACAUAAAAAUUACAAACUGUUAUUUUUUGCACUUUCGGCCAGAAAUGGGAUGAAAAGUCGGAAAAAGAUGUGUUGUCCGCCAUGUUGCGACGUCAUACUCGCCUGCAUUUGGCCAGUGGUUUUCUGAUGGCGGUAAAUUCGUGAGGGCCACCAUGUUGGCAUCGUUAUCGUCUUUUUAUGAAAAUAUUCGCUCGUUUUCUUUCUCUGGAAGAAAAGCAGGAGACAAACGCCGAAGGGAGAGGGAAGAGGAGGAUGUAAUCGUAACAGAUGUACUCCAGACACCACCAACCAAAAGAUUAAGAAAUCUAGAGGGAGGUG